CUUGGACAGAAAGCUAUAUUUCACCUGGAAGGUAUGUCAGAAAAUUGUCUGAAGUCUUGUUAGAAUGAGUAUAUGGCAGAAUUGUGUGCUACUUAUGUUUUAUGUACUUCUGUGAUUAGUUAUCUACAGUUCAACAGCCAUCGAGGCCGAACUAGUGAAGACUAUAAUAAACCAAAAAUUGUAGAUGGCACAUUCUCUGUCUCCGGUGUUUCAAAAUUGCACAUCACCCCCCACACGUUCCAUAUUUUAAAAAUACUCAAAUUACCUUUUUAACAUACUAUGUAUCUAGGGAUGCCCAAUAAGCACUUGGGUUUGAUUUUUCUGAAGUGUGUGGCAAUAAUGUGCCUAAUGGUUUUUGUACUAUUUUAAGUAAGUUUAGACAAGAAAUGGGGGUUAAGACUAAAACCAACUAUAGUCAAUAGAUGGAGGGUAGUGAACUUGGUUAGAAACUAUAUGGGAANCAUCACACUUCCAAAAACUUCAUCUUUUUUAUUAAUUCACCAAUUUUAUAUUCUGUGACUGAAAUCAUGCUUCAAAUAUGAUUCACCAAAUAUGAUUUAUUGCAAUAAUGUGAUUGAUUGAUGUUUUAUUUCAUUGCACAUAUUUUCAUAUGUUUUUUUCUGGAAUGACGUGCAUGUCUAUAUCUUAUGUAACUUUACUUCAGCAAUUUAGAAUCUUAGCAGUAUAAUUCAGAGAUUAUGUAUUGCUACUACUGGAAUUUUAUGUAAUCAAUCUUGCAGCGUUUGUGGCCAAGUUUAUGAGCAUCUACAAGGGUUUCCUGAUUGAGACAUUUGGCUGAAAUUAGAUGAAGAAAGGAUAUGAUUUUGUCAUCUAUUUGCUAUAGUUUGAUUUGGAUGUGGACAAAUCGUUCUGUGAUAGAUUCUCUGCUUGUGCUACAUUGCGUUGAAAAUCUUGGUUGACUGGAUUCUUAACAUUUUCAUGUAUUUAAUUUAUUUCCAUAAUUCUCUAGUCACUGCUUUUAUUGUUUCUUUGGUCUUACGCCCAGUAUUUGCAUUAUAAAAAACAGAAAUCUUUAAAAGAUUUUCUUCAUAUUUUUCCAAGAUAACUCAAUUUCUAUCUUUUGUUUAACACUGACCAGCCAAAAACAAAAAACUACCAGUGUGUAAUGGAUAAUUUUUAAGAUGUAAUUUAAACUCAUGCGGUUUUUCUGCUGAAAAAUGUCAAUAAGAGCCUGGGGGCAGCCUUCUCCCUUUUCCUAGGCAGGCAAGCCCGAAACAGCUAGCGCGCACGUUCAUGGGUCGAAAGCUAAACAAUAUUUGCAUAUAAUCACAUCAUUAGUGUACUUUUUGAUAAUAUAUAUUAUACGUCUAACUGUUGGUGAACUUGUCGUGCUGUAUGGGAAGAACACUUUCACAACCAAGAACUAGUGAUUCAUCGAGUACAUCAGGCCUUAGAAAAAGAUAAAAAUACCAAAGAUGAUGCAAUUCUUACACAAUGUACAAUGUUCAUCUAAUGGAUCAUCCAUGAAUUCAAGUUCUUGGCAAGGCAGAAUUCAAAUGCUGGCUGCGUGCCUUCAGCUAAUAAUUGGUCCGUGCAAAUAAAACUACACUUGGCCAACAAUAUUGAACAACUCAACAGAGAAACAAAUGAACAAAAUUGAUCAACUAUUUCUACUGUGAUGAAACAUAACCAAAAUUGAAUCCCAUUUUUACCUAUUCAUUUCUUCAAUUUUUUCGGUCAUGAUCAUUCUCUCUACCGAACACUUGCAUUUACACGCAGGGUUUCCACCAUCUUCAACACACAAAUCUUGAUAUCUCAAAAAGUUUCAAGACCUAAUCAACGGUCACCAAAAAUUUCUUGGGAUAUCGACCGACAUAACCUCUCCUUGUCCAGAAACAAUAGUACGAGAAAACCGCCUAGCCCUAUGAAGCUUCCUUUUCAUAGCCGGAACCUUUCUAGAAACAGCUUGCCAUAUCAUCUGAACAGCAUCAUUGUCCUUUGAUGGAUACCGAAACUCGUAAAAGUUUUCCACUUCUUUCAGCCUUUUCCAUUUCCUCGUCCAUUCCUCUUUCCCAAUGCUCCUAAUAAGGUUUAUGAGGAAAUUCUUUUUGAGAGCAUCCGAUAUACGGACGAAUAUGCAGAAUUCAGAAUAGUCGAGAACAUCUUCAUAGGGAAGCUCAAUAUCAUCGCUAAUUAUGACAGGGACACAGUGGCUGGCAAUUGCAUUGAUAACAAUUAAGCGUGGUAUCUGGAUCCUAAAAGAUAAUGAUGCUUGUCUGCUUAUCAGUUUCUCCGAAACUUCCAUACGUGCUGGUUAGUAAUAGAUUAAGUAUUUUGAAUCGAAAAGUUAUCUUUUUCUAUGCUUCUAAGCUUUCUUGGUUUUUGCUCAGGAACAUAGGUUACGGCUUGGACAGAAAGCUAUAUUUCACCUGGAAGGUAUGUCAGAAAAUUGUCUGAAGUCUUGUUAGAAUGAGUAUAUGGCAGAAUUGUGUGCUACUUAUGUUUUAUGUACUUCUGUGAUUAGUUAUCUACAGUUCAACAGCCAUCGAGGCCAAACUAGUGAAGACUAUAAUAAACCAAAAAUUGUAGAUGGCACAUUCUCUGUCUCCGGUGUUUCAAAAUUGCACAUCACCCCCCACACAUUCCAUAUUUUGAAAAUACUCAAAUUACCUUUUUAACAUACUAUGUAUCUAGGGAUGCCCAAUAAGCACUUGGGUUUGAUUUUUCUGAAGUGUGUGGCAAUAAUGUGCCUAAUGGUUUUUGUACUAUUUUAAGUAAGUUAAGACAAGAAAUGGGGGUUAAGACUAAAACCAACUAUAGUCAAUAGAUGGAGGGUAGUGAACUUGGUUAGAAACUAUAUGGGAAAUUGUCCAUCUUUUAAGCAAAAGGACUGUGCACCCAUCACAUGGAAUAAAAUGCUCUUUUCUCAACAGGAAAAGAGUAAUAUCCCUGGAUAAUCAUGUAUUUCGAAUUAUAGCUCCUGAUAUUUAUGCGCAUUACAUUGGAAUCCUGAAGCACCACCACAAAGGUGCGCAAUGCCUGCCUGCAGUUUGGCACCAGCAGCCAACUCUGGCGGUAGCAUAUUUUCCCCAUUUUCCGUAUAUUUUGAGAAGCUUUAUCACUUCUUUAAAAGCAUCAGAGUUGUUGACUCAUUGUUCCCAUUUUUAUCUUUUAACUAGUUUGCUUCAGAAACUUCCUGAUUUUGAGAAACCAAAUCCAAGUGUCUUCCAGUAUUACCAAAGAGUGCUGUCUCUUCUUUUAGACCUAAUGAAGUUUUAGUUUCUCUAAGGCAGUGUUUAAAUGUCUAAGAAUCUUAUGCGUCUUCAAACGAUAGGAUAUGUGCUUAGCACGUCCCAUAUUGAGUUUUUGGGCUCCAACUGUUCAGAAUGUAUUAAUAUCGAACGGAGCAUCACACUUCCAAAAACUUCAUCUUUUUUAUUAAUUCACCAAUUUUAUAUUCUGUGACUGAAAUCAUG
rnacentral:lncRNA from 1 species